UCAUCAUAUAGUUUCAGUACGGAAUUCUUAUAACGUACUUGCUCUGAUUCAUUUAAUUCUUUUUUAUUCCAUUCCAUCGAAAUUAUUUUAACGCUGAUAACGCUCGAAUAUUUGCCAUCUUUUGUCAAUUUCUACAAGUGUAAUACUUUUUAACAAGUAGAUUACAACAAUCAAGAUAUUUCCAAUCGAUCGACAUACGCAUACAUUGUAAGAAUAAUUAUCGAUUCGAAAUAUUUCUAAUCGAAUAAAAAAUAAAAUGAUUUCGAUACGUCAUUUUACUGUUUUGCGACAUGCCGCGGGUCUCGCGAAUCACGUUAAUAAAAUCGUGAAUGUGAAUUAUGCGUCAAAUUAUUGCAAGAUCGACGAGAGUAUCUUCGGAUUGAACAAUGAACAGAGAGAGCUUCGCUCACUUGCUUUCAAUUUCGCGCAGAAGGAAUUGGCGCCUAAAGCCGCCGAGAUUGACAAGAAAAAUAAUUUCGAUGAAUUGAGGGCAUUCUGGAAAGAAUUGGCAAAAUUGGGCUUUUUGGGCAUCACGGUGAAACCGGAGUACGGCGGUACAGGUGGCACAUAUCUCGAUCACGUAAUUAUCAUGGAAGAAUUGAGUAGGGCAUCGGCCGCUAUCGCGCUCAGUUAUGGCGUGCAUUCGAAUCUCUGUGUUAAUCAAAUCCAUAGAAACGGCACCAAGGAACAGAAACACAAAUACUUGCCUAAGUUGUGCAGCGGUGAGCACAUUGGUGCACUGGCGAUGUCGGAACCAGGUUACGGAUCCGAUGUGACCUCUAUGAAAUUACGAGCUGAAAAGAAAAACGAUUAUUACAUACUGAACGGUAAUAAGUUUUGGAUUACGAAUGGCCCGGACGCGGACAUCUUGAUCGUCUACGCGAGAACUAACCCGAACGCGGACAAACCGCAACAUGGUAUCCCCGCCUUUAUCGUCGAGAGUGCUACAGAAGGAUUUAGUACAGCGCAAAAAUUGGACAAGCUAGGAAUGCGCGGUUCCAAUACAUGCGAAUUAAUUUUCGAAGAUUGUAAAAUUCCGGCGGCCAACGUUCUAGGCGAAGUUAAUAAGGGUGUUUACGUGCUCCUCAGCGGAUUAGAUUUGGAACGAUUAAUAUUGGCUGCUGGACCUGUAGGAGUUCAUCAAGCUUCUUGCGACAUUGCUUUUGAAUAUGCUCAUUCAAGAAAGCAAUUUGACCAAUAUCUCGCGCAAUUUCAAUUGAUACAGGGGAAGAUUGCGGACAUGUAUAUGACUUUAACCGCGAGCAGAAGUUAUUUGUAUUCUGUUGCGAGAUUUUGCGACGCUGGUCAUACAAAUCGUAAGGAUUGCGCCGCAGUAUUGUUAUUUUGUACCGAGAAUGCUGUGAAAGCAACAAUGAACGCCAUGCAGAUACUUGGCGGUAAUGGAUACAUCAAUGAUUAUGUGACGGGGAGGUUAUUACGAGACGCAAAGCUUUACGACGUUGGCGCGGGUACUAAUGAAAUACGACGAUUGGUCAUCAGUCGUGCAAUCACUCAGGAAUACUUGUAACACAAAGAAAUCUGCAUUCCGUAUCAAUUUGGAGUUUUUAAUCAUUUAUGGAUAGGCAAUACCGAAUUGUUCACGGCAAUACCGAAUUAUUCACGCAAUAUUCACAUUUAUAUAUUAUGCAGACAACUCGAGCUAUUCAUAGUGAUUAUAAUA
rnacentral:misc_RNA from 1 species